rnacentral:rRNA from 1 species
AACGAACGCUGGCGGCAUGCCUAACACAUGCAAGUCGAACGAUGCCUUCGGGCAUAGUGGCGCACGGGUGCGUAACGCGUGGGAAUCUGCCCUUGGGUUCGGAAUAACUCAGAGAAAUUUGAGCUAAUACCGGAUGAUGACGUAAGUCCAAAGAUUUAUCGCCCAAGGAUGAGCCCGCGUAAGAUUAGCUAGUUGGUGGGGUAAAGGCCUACCAAGGCGACGAUCUUUAGCUGGUCUGAGAGGACGACCAGCCACACUGGAACUGAGACACGGUCCAGACUCCUACGGGAGGCAGCAGUGGGGAAUUUUGGACAAUGGGCGCAAGCCUGAUCCAGCAAUGCCGCGUGCAGGAUGAAGGCCU